rnacentral:tRNA from 2 species
UGGGGUGUGGCUCAGUGGUAUAGCACUUGCCUCACAUGCAUGGGACACUGGGUUCAAUCCUCAGCACCACUU